GAACGCUGGCGGCGUGCUUAACACAUGCAAGUCGAACGCGAAAGGGGCUUCGGCUCCGAGUAGAGUGGCGCACGGGUGAGUAACGCGUGGAUGAUCUGCCCUGAUGUUGGGAAUAACAGUUGGAAACGGCUGCUAAUACCGAAUACGCUCCCCUUUCACCAUGGGAGGAAAGACGGCCUCUGCUUGCAAGCUGUCGCAUGAGGAUGAGUCCGCGUCCCAUUAGCUAGUUGGUGAGGUAACGGCCCACCAAGGCGACGAUGGGUAGCCGAUUUGAGAGGAUGAUCGGCCACACUGGAACUGAAACACGGUCCAGACUCCUACGGGAGGCAGCAGUGGGGAAUAUUGCGCAAUGGGCGAAAGCCUGACGCAGCGACGCCGCGUGAGGGAUGAAGGUCUUCGGAUCGUAAACCUCUGUCAGAAGGGAAGAAAGCAGCGGGUGCCAAUCAGCCUGCUGUUGACGGUACCUUCAAAGGAAGCACCGGCUAACUCCGUGCCAGCCGCCGC
rnacentral:rRNA from 1 species